rnacentral:rRNA from 1 species
CGCCUGGGGAGUACGGCCGCAAGGUUAAAACUCAAAUGAAUUGACGGGGGCCCGCACAAGCGGUGGAGCAUGUGGUUUAAUUCGAUGCAACGCGAAGAACCUUACCUGGUCUUGACAUCCACGGAAG